GUACCCGCUGAACUUAAGCAUAUCAAUAAGCGGAGGAAAAGAAACCAACAGGGAUUACCUCAGUAACGGCGAGUGAAGCGGUAACAGCUCAAAUUUGAAAUCUGGCUCUUUCAGGGUCCGAGUUGUAAUUUGUAGAAGAUGCUUUGGGUGUGGCUCCGGUCUAAGUUCCUUGGAACAGGACGUCAUAGAGGGUGAGAAUCCCGUAUGUGAUCGGCUGCUUUCGCCCGUGUAAAGCUCUUUCGACGAGUCGAGUUGUUUGGGAAUGCAGCUCAAAAUGGGUGGUAUAUUUCAUCUAAAGCUAAAUAUUGGCCAGAGACCGAUAGCGCACAAGUAGAGUGAUCGAAAGAUGAAAAGCACUUUGGAAAGAGAGUUAAACAGUACGUGAAAUUGUUGAAAGGGAAGCGCUUGCAACCAGACUCGCGCGCCGUCGAUCAUCCGGGGGUUUCCCCGGUGUACUCGGCGGUGCUCGGGCCAGCAUCAGUUUUGGUGGUGGGAUAAAGGCCUUGGGAAUGUAGCUUCUUUCGGGGAGUGUUAUAGCCCUCGGUGCAAUGCCGCCUACCGGGACUGAGGACCGCGCUUCGGCUAGGAUGCUGGCGUAAUGGUUGUAAGCGACCCGUCUUGAAACACGGACCAAGGAGUCUAACAUCUAUGCGAGUGUUUGGGUGUCAAACCCAUACGCGUAAUUAACGUGAACGGAGGUGAGAACCCUUUAGGGUGCAUCAUCGACCGAUCCUGAUGUCUUCGGAUGGAUUUGAGUAAGAGCAUAGCUGUUGGGACCCGAAAGAUGGUGAACUAUGCCUAAAUAGGGUGAAGCCAGAGGAAACUCUGGUGGAGGCUCGCAGCGGUUCUGACGUGCAAAUCGAUCGUCAAAUUUGGGUAUAGGGGCGAAAGACUAAUCGAACCAUCUAGUAGCUGGUUCCUGCCGAAGUUUCCCUCAGGAUAGCAGUGUUGAAUUCAGUUUUAUGAGGUAAAGCGAAUGAUUAGAGGCCUUGGGGCUGAAACAGCCUUAACCUAUUCUCAAACUUUAAAUAUGUAAGAAGUCCUUGUUACUUAAUUGAACGUGGACAUUCGAAUGUACCAACACUAGUGGGCCAUUUUUGGUAAGCAGAACUGGCG
rnacentral:rRNA from 1 species